UGCCUAUGACGAAUGCGUACGGGUGAGUAAGUAUCGGAACGUGCCCAGUAGCGGGGGAUAACUACGCGAAAGCGUAGCUAAUACCGCAUACGCCCUGAGGGGGAAAGAGGGGGAUCAGAGAUGACCUUUUACUAUUGGAGCGGCCGAUAUCGGAUUAGCUAGUUGGUGGGGUAAAGGCCUACCAAGGCGACGAUCCGUAGCUGGUUUGAGAGGACGACCAGCCACACUGGGACUGAGACACGGCCCAGACUCCUACGGGAGGCAGCAGUGGGGAAUUUUGGACAAUGGGGGCAACCCUGAUCCAGCCAUUCCGCGUGUGCGAUUGAAGGCCUUCGGGUUGUAAAGCACUUUUGUCAGGGAAGAAAAGGUUUGUGUUAAUACCAUGGACUGCUGACGGUACCUGAAGAAUAAGCACCGGCAAACUACGUGCCAGCAGCCGCGGUAAUACGUAGGGUGCGAGCGUUAAUCGGAAUUACUGGGCGUAAAGCGUGCGCAGGCGGUUCGGAAAGAGAGAUGUGAAAUCCCAGGGCUCAACCUUGGAACUGCAUUUCUAUUGUGUCGAGCAAA
rnacentral:rRNA from 1 species